CCUACGGGAGGCAGCAGUGGGGAAUAUUGCACAAUGGUGGAAACCCUGAUGCAGCGACGCCGCGUGAGGGAAGAAGUAAUUCGUUACGUAAAGCUCUAUCAGCAGGGAAGAAACACUGGCCUUACGGUCAGCAGACGGUACCUGAGUAAGAAGCACCGGCUAACUACGUGCGACCAGCCGCGGUAAGAAGUAGGGGACAAGCGGUAGCCGGAUUUACUGGGGGGAAAGGGGGCUGAGACGGUGCGCCAAGCAUGGAGUGAAAUGCCGCAGCUUAAAUGCGGAACUGCGGUGGAAAAUGGCGAACUCGAGUUCGAGAGGAGUAUGCGGAAUUCGUGGUGUAGCGGUGAAAUGCGUAGAUAUUAGGAGGAACACCGGUGGCGAAGGCAGCUUACUGGACCGUCACUGACGUUGAGGCUCGAAAGCGUGGGGAUCGAACAGGAUUAGAUACCCUGGUAGUC
rnacentral:rRNA from 1 species